rnacentral:lncRNA from 1 species
CAUACAAAAUAAAAUUGAUUUACUAAUUUGGUUUAUAAAUUAAAACCAACAUACAAAUAUUUUUUGGUCGAACCAACUUACAGAUUAAAAUUGGUUUAUAAAACUAAACCAAAUUAAAAAAAAAAACUAAAUCUAAUUGAUUAGCAUGCAUCUUCUCAGCAACUCGACGCUUUGUCUCCAAAGCCAUAGCUCCUUACACAUAAAUGCCUCAUCAUACCUCCCACUCAUCCUCAUUCCAUCCCUCCCUUGCAAAAAUGCGUUAAUCGCUGCAGUAAACAAGUAGACAUCAGGAGAAACCGCUCUUCUUACGUCUCCUCCUACUCUUCUUCUUCCUCGUCUUUCUUCUUAAAUCUACACAAGUAUACCAAUAAUUGUUAAACUACACAGAUUUAUGAAAAACGGUUCUGUGAAAAUAAUUGCAAAACUACACAUAUUCUUCUCGCUUUUUAAAUCAACUCAACAGAAAUAUAAUUAAGAUGAACAGAUUCAUUGGAUCCUCACAAUCUGAACAGUCAUGCCGGAGCGACAACGGACGCUGUGACGGUACACCGGAACACCUUCAUGUCUCCACCUCUCAUGCUCGUUCAUCCUUCUCUUCUCUCUCCUUCCUCCUAUGGUUCUCCUUCACUCCUUCGAUUCUUUAACAUGGACCAAAAUCAAAGCUACACAAAAGAGAGAUAAUGAGAAAGUAAUUAAUUUGUAGAUCUUAAAAAGGAGAAGGAGGAUUCGCUUCUUACAACGACCAUUGACAGAGAGCAAAGCUGAAGAGAUAUGGGAGCAGAUAUCGUUAAGAGAAUGAAGAGGCUAGCAGUGAAGAAAUCUUAAGAAUUAAG